rnacentral:rRNA from 1 species
AUGUCAUGGGAAAAUAUCACCAAACCAAAGAUAGAUGGGGUUAUAAGAUUCAGGGAUAUGCAGUGUUUCAACUAGGCACUACUAGCUCGUCAAUGUUGGAGACUGAUUCAAUACCCUAACAACCUUUGAGUGAGAGUGCUAAAAUCGAAAUAUUAUCCAAAUGGUAAUUUUUUGGAUACGGUGUUCACGGGUGAUGAUUCCCCUUCCUAG